rnacentral:rRNA from 1 species
UACGGACUAUUGGACAAUGCCCGCAAGUGUGAUCCAGCCAUGCCGCGUGCAGGAAGACGGCCCUAUGGGUUGUAAACUGCUUUUACACCGGACAAAACCUCCCCUUGUGUGGGGAGUUGAUAGUAUGGUGUGAAUAAGCAUCGGCUAACUUCGUGCCAGCAGCCGCGGUAAGACGAAGGAUGCAAGCGUUAUCCGGAUUCAUUGGGUUUAAAGGGAGCGUAGGUGGCCUUAUAAGUCAGUGGUGAAAUCUCUAGGCUUAACCUAGAAAUUGCCAUUGAUACUGUAGGGCCUGAGUACAGUUGCUGUGGGCGGAAUAUGACAUGUAGUGGUGAAAUACAUAGAGAUGUCAUAGAACACCGAUUGCGAAGGCAGCUCACAAAACUAGUACUGACGCUGAGGCACGAAAGUGCGGGGAUCAAACA